UAGGUAAAAAAGUUCAAACCAGAUGUAUCCUUAAUCGAACUACCAAAGAAUUUUAUUUGUUAGAAGUAAGAUUAUGCUUUGAUUUAUCAUUUAAUCUUAUUGACUGUGAGAAAAACAAA